CACUCCGGUGGCCUAGUGGUUAGAGUAUUCGCUUCAGAUGCGGGAGGUCUCGAGUUCGAUCUCCAAUCGAGUCA